GCCAGUGUGGUAUAGUGGUUUGAGUGUUGGACUAUGACUCUGGAGACCAGGGUUCGAAUCUCUGCUGAGCUA